GAGAGGAUCCACACUGAGAAGAUAUAAAACGUGUCAACUAGCUCAGUCUUUUCUCAUGUCUGUAUUUAGAACCUGAGAAAUGAUUCGCUUCCUGUUCAAUCUGCAAGGUAGAACCAGUAAAAAAGAAAAAAAAUAUGUUUGUAAAAGCCUUCAGUCAUCCACUUAAAAAAAAAAAUCUGUCUCGAAGAAGUUUUACUGCUGAUCGGUUCAUUAGACGAGGAAGAUCUACGCAUGAGUGGUUAAAGAUUAAACAUCCAGCUGCAUUAACUGUUUGGCGGAGCAAAAAGAAACUCACACCAGGUUCCAGUUUGUAAAACACAACCUUUAUCCAAAAUCUAGCUUCAAAAAUAAAUCUUAAGCUCUAAUCAAAACUUUGCGUUCUGAUUAAAGAGGGUCCACUGAAGAAAGAGUGGUGUUGGCUUUGGGUUAAAAAAAGCUCCCUCAUGGAAGGAGUCUCCAGUGUCAGUGCUUUGUAACAGUCAUAUUUAAGCUGCAUUUUGUUGUCUUACUAACUUCAAGAGAGAAGACAAAAGGGGAACGACUGUCUAUAGCUGUGAUGACAGGAACUAACUCGUUUCAUGGACAUUCCAUAUCAUUAAACGUAACUAAAAAUGGAUAAAAGCUAUGAUGUGGCAUUUGUUAAUAAAUUAACAUUACUGUGGCAUAGGAGGAAUAAAACACUUUGGGACGUACCCUUAUAGAAAAAUAACCAACUUCAAAAAUGCAGAAAAAGAUCAGAGUAAGUUUCAUGUUAAAUUUUUUUUUAAAAAAUCAAGCAAUAGCAUCUGUAACCAUUGUUAUGAUCUCUCUGUCGUAAUAAUUAAAUUCAGUAAUAAUUGCGUAAACUGAGAGAAGACCAGCCAUGAGAAAAUGGCACAUGUGGCAUUUUACAAGCGCUUUAGGGGAGUAAAGUAGGGGAAGCUGGGAAAAUAUUGCUUACCUGUGCGUGUCGAUGAUGCAGUCAGGUGGAACUGCAAACACAGAGAGAGAGAGAGAGAGAGAGAGAGAGGACAUGGGUAAAUGCACAUGUAUGUGUUUCCCCACAGGAGAGCUGCAGCUGUGCAUGCUCAGGAUCCUGCGACUGCUGUUCCACAAUCGUGUGGGACGCUUUACAGUCUGAGAUCAUACAGUCAUCUCUUCGUACUCUCCCUCCCCUCCCUUUUUGAAGAAGUGCUUGGCUGUGACGCUGAGAUUUCCAGGUGUCAGGAAAUUCAAUUAAUUCGGCACAGAUGCAAAGUACACCCGAAAAGAAAAUGCACAAAAAAGACAGAGGUGAUGAAGAGUGUGAGUCGCAAGGCCCUCGGGGUCUCCUCUGCUCUCGGCUCAAUCUUGUCUCUCCACUCCUCAGAGCUUCGGCAUGAAAAGCAUCCUCUGGGGACAGAGAGGAAAAGGUCAGGUAAGGAAACAUCCUCGGGGCACUGGAAGAUGCUCGGGUGAAAGAAACACACGGCAGAUGGACUUUAAAGUAAAACACUUGGCAUGAUAUUGCUAUUGAUAUUGAUUUUGGGAUUUUUUCGUGUUCCUUCAGAGCUCCAGGUCAUUUGAGGUGUCAGUUGAUCCUUUAUAUUCUGUUACACCACAGCACUGUUGAAUUCUCGAUUCUGAUUGGUCAGCAGCUCGGACAGUAGUUCCUGCUGCUGAAGCAAAUCACAGGUUUGUAUGAAUGCACUCGUUUUAAUGCUUUAUCGUUUCCAUAGUAACAGCUUACACAGGAACUUAAAAACUUGUGUAAUUGUUGAUACAGUUUGGCUUUCUGGUUAACAUUUAUGGAAGGAGUCUCCAGUGUCAGAGGAGACGGAGGAGGUUACACUUUGUGGUUUUUCGGUACUUUUUUUUUUUGUCUUAUUAACUUUAAAAACAAUAAAAACAGAAGCUUGUUGUUGUAUAAGUGGGAUAAAACACAAACAGUGUUGUUUUAAAACACAGAAGGAUGCUGUUAUUUAAAAAAUAUUUGUGUUCAAGGUGGUAACAGUGACUCCUUCAUCACACCACCCUGUUGUUGAUUACUUUCCUUUAACAGCACUAUGCUAAGUGUUUUAAUGUUCUAACAGCUAAUUUACAAGUUUUACUUUUAGCUAAUUUAAUUUUUCCUCUUUCUGAAAACAAGACAAACAGAUGUGUAUUCACUGCCAACACGUUUGAUGUGAGGUGCUUAAAUGUUUCAUUUACAGUAGCAAUCACUCGAGUUAUUUGAUCUCUCUUACGAAAUCAGGUAGCAUCUUAUCUAGAGAUGAGGAGCUGCAUGAUAUAUUAGCAUUUAACAGCGGUUUGAAUCCUCAGCCAUAUGGUCAUUUCAUUUAUUUCCAUGGUUUAUUUCCAUCUUAUAAAACCCUGGACACCUACUAGACAAAAAUUACACUCCUCACAGAAAACUUCACCAUGUCAAUGAUUAAAAACAUAUUUUAUAUAUAUCAUAAACUGGACAUUAUGUGGGUUCUGUAAAGUUUUACAUUACAUUGCCAGAUGUUUAGAAUGUGUGUGUGUGUUUGUGUGUGUGAGUUAGUGAGAGAGCCAAAAUGUAGACCAGAGAGAGGGGGAGGGGUUUCAUCUCAUUAGCAUUAAAAAGACAGCCCACUAUUUGAAGCUUUUGCCUCAUCUGCUGAAUCAUAAUUUCGUUCAAUUCUAGUGCCCUCGCAGGCCAAGGACACUGAUGGCUAAGGCCUCACACACUCCUGGGAGCUUGUGCUUCCUAAUGUGUGUGUGUGUGUGUAUGUGUGUGUGUGUGUGGGGCCGGUGCUCUCUGCCCUAGCCCAUCUGCUACUUUUCCCACAACCUUAUUUGAGCUGUCGAGAACUGUGUGUAAAAAGUGACGCAAGUGCAAUCAACACAUGAAUUAAAAUGUAAUUUGUUCUGAUUCGGAGGGGGAAAAAGUGCACCGUUGAUUUGACAUGAUAACAGAGUGGUAAUGAAAUAAAAAAUUUCAAAUAUGACUGCUGCGAGUAUGUUUGGAGGAAGUAAAAAUGGCUAACAAUUUGGUUUAAAUGGACAAAACACAAAACAUAUUUUUCUGUAUUUUUUUUUAAAAUUAUAUUAAAUAUUUUUUAAGUAAAUAAAACAAUUAUAUAGUUUCACCCACAUCUGCCUUGUUGACAUGAAUAACAAUCCCAUGAUGUCAAUGACAUAUCAGUAGAACUCAUUUAUUAAACUAACAUGAUAGAGAAAUAUGAGUCCCACAAAUCUGUAUUUAUUCAGGUUAAAUUGGCUUUAGUAGUAAAACACUAAUAAUUCCAGUAUAUGGCAAAUAUCUUGUAUUUAGAAUAGCUGUACAAGCAGGUAGGAUGACGGUUUAAGAAACAGAAAGCGUUUGAAAAUAAAAGGUUAAUAAUAUUUCCGUGGCCCGUCUCAGUGCCGAGCGCUUGUUAUGAUUAGACUGAACUUUGAGUGUAAUUACGGAAUAAAGCUGUGUGAGCGAAGCGACAAUGAAUAAAUAAAGACCUUGAACAUUAUCUCCACUAAUACUCCUCCCUCUCUCUCUCUCUCUCUCUCUCUCUCUCUCUCUCGUUUUCUCUCUCUCGUUUGCUCUCUCUUUCUCUCUCUCUCAGCUUUCUCUAGCUGUAUCAUUCUUUGAAUUAUGGAGCCCGGGGCCCAGCACAAGGUCACCUCUUUUCCUUCCCCCCUGUGUCUUUGUCCCGUGUUGCAGAAGGAAAGGGUUAACUCUGGGCUGAAUGUAAUUACGGAAUGAAUGGAAUUACAAUGUGCCUGCAGCAAGUUUGCGUCUUCCUUAUUUAUUAAGGCAGCUGAUGGGCCAGGUUUGAUGAGGCACUCUUCGGGCAUAAUUGAGUCAUCACACAAAGAGGGGGCUUCGGCAGCAUUCACCGAGGUUUUAUCAGCCGCAAACAGACCUGAUUACUGGCAAUUACACUCUGAUCUGCCAGGAGGAGGGGGCAGACCGAAGGAAGAAAAAAAAAAACUUUCCUGUUUAGAGUUCACCCCAGAAAUAAUUUCCACGUUCGUGGUUUUAUACACGUUUGCUAUUUUGGGAUAAAUAGAGUAAAAAGAGUUAAAAAGUUCAAACGUGGCAGCGUUCGUGACAAAAAAAAGUACAACAAACAAAUGAAAUGUUUGUAAUGUUGUAACAUUAUCCUCGUCUCUCGGGUGGAAUUUUUCCGGACGGAUUUGAAUGUGCGAUGUUUGGAUAUGGUAUGAAUACAAGGCUAAAAAGAAUAUGCCGGCGCUUUCGGGAGCGCUUAAUGAAAUGCAAAUGGUUCUGUGUAAAUCGAAACCUUGUAAUCACAGCAUUUGAAAAACAAACAAAAACUUCAGAGAAGAUUGGAGGAGGUUUUUUUAAAAAAAUUUUUUUAAAUAUAGACUAUCAUAUGUCCAUGUUCAAUCAGUGAGAAAAGAAAGUUCACAUUAGAGAUCCUAAAGUGUGAAAUCUCUUAAAUGUAAGAGCUUAUAAAGCAUCGAAUCCGUUUUGUUUUUUUGUUUUUUUUUAGGAUAAUUUGAAUAAAAUGCAUCAUCAAUCUUCUAGUCUGUAAUCUAGGAUUAAGGGCAAACUUGUUACUGAGGGUGUUUCUAGUUAAAAGGCUUUAAAUCAUUUUAAUGCAAUAUUACUGUCUUGGACAAUUGUUUAGCAUUGUCGUUAUUUUCUUUGCUAUCACGUAUACAUUAUGUUCUACGGCAGCAUCCGUGGGAACGAUCAAAUGAAGAAUUUCAUUGUGUAAGGAAGCUUCAUGAGUCUUGAACAUUGUCUCUAAAAUCCCACUUUUCUUCCAUAUUUUUACUCAGCUACAUUAUAUUUGCAUAAUGCAUAUUAAAAGCAAAUGUGCACAUGUUAAAAAAUCCACAAUAAAGAAGCACAAACAGGCGUAAUGUGACUAGUCAGGUGUUUAAAAUAAUAACGGCAUGAACUCCAUGCACUUGUGCUAUUGGAAAUUCUCUCCUGAUUUUUUUCAUGAAAAAGAAAUGUUUGAUCCUCAGGCCAAACUGGUCAUUUCAUAAAGAGGAAGCGGUCACUUUUAUCCCUUUUCCCAACACACACUCACUUCGCUGAUGAGAAAAUGCAUCCAGGAUUCUUAACAUGGAAUUAAUCGCUUGGCUGGCGCACACAGGAAAAAAUCCUCACCCUGGCCGUGUCCGGAGAAAAGAACAUGAAAGAGUUGGAUGGUGUCACUUUUGGGAGUUUUGUGGGGAGCUUUCACCAAACACUUUCCACAACAAUUGGAACUAUAAAAGGAUGAAAAGUACUAUGUUCUUUACAUAAAAAAAUUGUAAUCGUUGACAACUUGCUGACAAACUUCAGGACAUGGUUUUAUAGGAAAAGAGGAAAAUCAACUUUGGGGUGGUAACAAUGACUCGGCUUCAUCACACCACCCCGUCGUUGAUUAUUUUCCUAUAACAUCUCAAAAUUGUAGGAGUAACUUCCUUUCCUUUCCUUGCUGAAAAUUUCUUUCAUUAUUUAACCACAAUAUUUUUAUCCCAAGAUUAAGAAGUCAUCAAAGGAGCUAUAAUUUAUCUGUAUUGCUUAAUGAUAUCUGAGCCACAGAUCCUAUUCAAAACGCUACCUGAAUUCAGUGACCUUUACUCUUUGUUGGUCUUUUCAUGUGUGUGUGUGUGUGUGGGGCUGAACAAUGGGAGCUCUGAUGAAAAAAAGGCCAGGUGUUAGUGGAGAAAACUUCCACGCCUAUUCUCCGUCUCAGUCUGAGCAAACGUACUAUGAGUGGUACCAGGUGGCCUCCGAUUUUGUCAUACCUUGGUUAAAGUCUGAGAUAAAAGCCGUUCAGUCUAAAGACACUGUAGAAAAAAAUACACAGACCUGGCCUCCUGUGAGCGAGUGAGUACCCUUUGGUUACAAAAAAUAAUUUAUAAAUUAAAAAAAAAAACCAGAGGGUAGAAAGGGGAAAAAAACCUAUCAGGGGCUUGUAUCAGGAGUUUGUGAGGAAGCCACCCUUUAAACUCCUGAUUCCUAAUCAGAUUGCACUGAAAUGAACAGCUCGUAUGGCAGCUGUACUUUUCCCAGGGUUAAUUACCUUUCACCGCGCUCGCCUAAUGAGUCAGCUGCCGCUGUCAUUAAACAACGCCACUUCAAGCGCCGCUCCUUCAGCCUGCACAAACAGUGGUCCCCCUCCCGGUUUCACUCGAGCGCAGGAAGCAACACCGACAAGGGACGGCGACAGAGCAAAAAGGGGGGAAAGGUCGCCGUUUGUGGCAUAUGUUUGGAAACCAGAGCCUUGUGACACCGAGUGCGACAUUUAACCUUAAAGCCGCAUGUCCGUCUGAGAGGGCGUUCGAGCUUUUUGUGCAUUUAAAUAAUAAUUAAAUACAGAAGGUGUUUAUUCUUUUGUUUUGUUUUUUUUUCUUCCACAAGAGCCAAUAGUUUUGUUAGUUUGCUAGUAUAAACAUAAACAGUGUGUGGCGAAAUCCCCCCGGCCACCUCGGAUUACAAACUCAAGACCUUUAACUGGUGCCAGGCGAAAUCCGUGUUAGCUCGGAUUUACCUUCGCAAUAUGAAGUCCCAGUCCGAGUAAGCUUUGUCUGGAAUCCGUUGUUCCUGAGAGUUUUCUGCGCUAAACGCAGCCCUAAUGGUGAAUUGUGAUUGUUGAAAUGGAGGGAACGAGAGGACAGCGUGGUUUCAUCACAGAUUUUUUUGUCACAAACACAACACAGCAUAAACGUAUUAACUUGCUUACAUAAUAAUUUCAGUGUACUGCUGUAGAUGAUAGACAUUCCUUUCGUACUAAAAAACAAGUAUCUCUGCCAUGGACAGAUGAAAUUAGGCCCUGCUUUCUCUCUCUCUCUCCCUCUCUCUCUCUCUCUCUCUCUCUCUCUUUCAAAAACAGUUAUUUAUAGCACAAUCCACUUGUAAUAUGAAUAUUAGGGAAUAUUCUCCAGCAUCUACACACACACACAAUUUUGUACUUAAAAGGUUACCAGGGCCAUACAGUGGUUCUGCAGAUGGAGCAUGAUUAUAAUCACAUAUAUCAAUAAAAUGUAUAAUCUUUAACAAAAUGCAAAAAAAAAUUUUAAGGACCUCCACACACAUUUAGCCCAUUUGUUCUCAGCUGAGCAAGUAAACCUCGAAAACCUUAGUUUCUUCAGGUAUUUUUAUUCACUGUCACUCAGUAUGAUUCAGUUUUAAAUCGUCAGUAUUUGCAUUUUACACACAAGCAAAAAGUUUUAAUAAGUAACAGUUCUCCCCACCACAUUAUCAGUGCAAUAAAUAAUCCACAAAUCUACACAGUGUGACUUCUUAAGCAUGUUUUAUCGCAGUGACUACAUUUCUGUGCUAGUGACGAUUAUAACUUUGAGUUAAACUCUCCAGAGCCACCUUUAACGCUCAACUGUUCAGCUUUAUACCAAGUUCUCAGAUUUCAGGAUGAAAACUAUUUUCAAGCAAAAUCUUGAUGCUAACUGAGCCACAGCGCUGCUGAAUUUUCGGAUCUAAUUGGCCUGGAACAGCAGCUAUGGCAGCAGUUCCAGCUGCAAAGCACAUCACAGGUUUAUAUAAAUGCUAAUCAUUCUAAUACGUUAUCGUUUCUGUAGUAACAACUUGUACAGCAGAUGCAUUGCACUCACAUCGAUGUGGUGAAGCGGUCUUUCUUUAAGGAGAGUGUUAUUACUUAUGUAUUACUUAUUUAAUACAUUUGUGGAA